rnacentral:rRNA from 1 species
GACGAACGCUGGCGGCGUGCUUAACACAUGCAAGUCGAACGGAAAGGCCCUGCUUUUGUGGGGUGCUCGAGUGGCGAACGGGUGAGUAACACGUGAGUAACCUGCCCUUGACUUUGGGAUAACUUCAGGAAACUGGGGCUAAUACCGGAUAGGAGCUCCUGCUGCAUGGUGGGGGUUGGAAAGUUUCGGCGGUUGGGGAUGGACUCGCGGCUUAUCGGCUUGUUGGUUGGGUAGUGUCUUACCAAGGCUUGGACCGGUAGCCGGCCUGAGAGGGUGACAGGACACACUGGGACUGAGAUACGGCCCAGACUCCAACGGGAGGCAGAGGUGGGGAAGAUAGCACUGGGGGCGGGAGGAUGAUGCGGCACCGCCGCGUGGGGGAAGAGGGCCAGGGGGUUGGAUCGCGAUGUCGCCUUAGACGAAGCGAGAAUGACGGUAACGGGUGAAGAAGCACCGGCUAACUACGUG